UACGGGAGGCAGCAGUGAGGAAUAUUGGACAAUGGGCGCAAGCCUGAUCCAGCCAUGCCGCGUGCAGGAAGAAGCAUCUAUGGUGUGUAAACUGCUUUUGUACGGGAAGAAACACUCCUACGUGUAGGAGCUUGACGGUACCGUAAGAAUAAGGAUCGGCUAACUCCGUGCCAGCAGCCGCGGUAAUACGGAGGAUCCAAGCGUUAUCCGGAAUCAUUGGGUUUAAAGGGUCCGUAGGCGGUCUAAUAAGUCAGUGGUGAAAGCCCAUCGCUCAACGAUGGAACGGCCAUUGAUACUGUUAGACUUGAAUUAUUGGGUAGUAACUAGAAUAUGUAGUGUAGCGGUGAAAUGCUUAGAUAUUACAUGGAAUACCAAUUGCGAAGGCAGGUUACGAUCAAUAUAUUGACGCUGAUGGACGAAAGCGUGGGGAGCGAACAGGAUUAGAUACCCUGGUAGUCCACGCCGUAAUCGAUGGAUACUAGCUGUUCGGAGCAAUCUGAGUGGCUAAGCGAAAGUGAUAAGUAUCCCACCUGGGGAGUACGUUCGCAAGAAUGAAACUCAAAGGAAUUGACGG
rnacentral:rRNA from 1 species